rnacentral:rRNA from 1 species
AGAAUCAACGCUGGCGGCGUGCCUAACACAUGCAAGUCGAACGAGAAAGUGGAGCAAUCCAUGAGUAAAGUGGCGCACGGGUGAGUAACACGUGACUAACCUACCCUCGAGUGGGGAAUAACUUCGGGAAACCGAGGCUAACACCGCAUAACAUCUACGGAUCAAAUGCGUAAGCAGCUUGAGGAGGGGGUCGCGGCUGAUUAGCUAGUUGGCGGGUAAUGGCCCACAAGGCAAUGAUCAGUA